UAUUACCGCUAAAUGUAUGGCACUGUUAGCUGCUCAUGCUCAUUUGCAGAGUAAUGUAAUUAUAUGAGAAGUUUAUUUUUCAUUGUUCAGGUUAUAAGUCCAGGUCAGAAAAUGAGAAGCUGUGGUUUAAGAGUUGAAAUUAGUUUUAUUAAUUAAGAACAAACCUGAGACUAAAGAGUAUUUCCAUAGAGCCACUUUGCAUCAGCAGCUCCAUGCUCCAGCGCUCUGGGAGAGUUUAUAGUCCUGACAGUUGAACACUGGAUGACUGACAGCUGUCCUUCAUUACAACAGAAGACACAGAAAUCCUCCUCAUUAAAAACAUGACUUUGAUCUGCAUCCUCAUCUGGACUCUCCUCUGCAGCUGCUUCACAGAGGUGAGAGGUCAGAUCACAGUAACUCAGCAGCCUGCAGCAGUGAGAGCUGAUCUGGGAAGAUCUGCCACCAUCACCUGUAGGACCAGUCAGAAUGUUUAUAACAACAACUACUUACACUGGUACCAACAGAAAGAUGGACAAACUCCUAAGCUCCUCAUUUAUACUACCAGCACUAAAGCAUCAGGGACUCCAAGUCGUUUUACAGGCAGUGGAUCAAACUCUGACUUCACUCUGACCAUCAGUGGAGUUCAGACUGAAGAUGCUGCAGUUUACUACUGUCAGAGUUUUCAUUACCCCAACAGCCAGCACGUGUUCACACAGUGAAAAACAGUCGUACAAAAACCUCCGUCAGUCAAACUGAACAGAAACUGAACUGCAGCUGCACAGAUUUGUCACUGACAUAUGUAAAUGUAUGUUACUGGAAAGAAAAGCUGUUGUAGAAAAUUUAAAUUGAUAUUGCAUUUUCUACAAUAGAUAUUGUCAUUCCUCAUCCAUAUUCUAUGCUCAUUCUUCCAAUCAGUCACAUGUCAGCCUUUUUCCAAAGGUCCUAGGACAAGAGCUGGGGGUGGCCAGUAAGACUAUUGUCCAUAUUUCUUGUGAAUAAUGUGAAUAAGUCAAACAUAAGAUUUCAGAAGCCUUUGUGAAACUUUUAUUGUUUAUAAAAUUGAAUCAGUCCACUUUAAAACAAUAUCAAGCACAUUCAGAAUGAAACAGAGAAGCUGGUAAUAAGAAAACAUGAAAGCAAAGGUAAAAUCAGCU